UUGCUUGACUUUCUCCAUGUGCUGGCGUACAAUCCUUUCGUGAUCUUUCACUAUGGCAAUAAAAGUUACUUGGAAUAGACGUUUUGGACCCGAGGGCAGUGCUCGGCAUCUCCACGUGUUUGCGGGGAUGAGACAGGUUAGACAGGCGUAGUAAAGAAGCUGGCUGUUGCUCGGUGGGAAUUCCAGCCGUAUAAUUGGGUCAUAUUUAUAAGUGCAAACGAUGAUUUCGUUGCCGCUAAUGACAACGUGGAAACAGCUUUCGUAGCUGCAGCCUAGUGUGCCUUUAGCGCGGUCUCGGAGGCUUACCGGGCAACAGAAAAGCCUCCAUU
rnacentral:tmRNA from 18 species